AGAAGUGGCAAUAAAAAGGUUUGAGAGGGCUGAUGGGAUUGGUAGUCUGCAUCAUCCUUUUACCACGGAGUUUGCAACUAUGGUGGGUUGUUUGCGGCAGAAGAAUCUGAUUCAGCUUCAUGGGUGGUGCUGUGAGCGUAAUGAGUUAGUCCUGGUGUACGAGUACAUUGCCCAACGGAAGCCUCAACAAAUGCCUUUGAGGAAGGGGACUGCUUCAUGUGCUUGUCACCAGAAGAUUCAAGUACCAAAAGCAGCCCUGAAAAUCGCUCCCAUGAAAGAAAAACAAAGAUAGUGGAGAUGGCUCUUGGGUUGGGAGGUUUAGCUGCAUAUGUUGUCUUCAUACUCGCAUUUGUUUUUGUCAUUUGCUUUGCGUGUGUGAAGCAGAGAAAGGUCACUGCCAACCGACACAGGGUUGUCGGGGAAGGGGCAUCAGCUAAGGUUUAUAAAGGGUCUUUGCCCUGAGGGAGAAGUGGCAGUGAAAAGGUUUGAGAGGGCUGAUGGGAUCUGUAGUCUGCGUAAUCCUUUUACCACAGAGUUUGCAUUUAUGGUGGGUUGUUUGCGGCAGAAGAAUCUGGUUCAGCUUCAUGGGUGGUGCUGUGAGGGUAAUGAGUUAGUCCUGGUGUACGAGUACAUUGCCCAACGGAAGCCUCAACAAAGUUCUCCACAAAAGCUUCAAUUCAGCAGUUGUCCUAUCCUGGAAGCAAAGACUUGAUAUAGUUCUCGGAGUCGCUUUUCCUCUUGCAUAUCUUCACGAGGAGUGUGAGAGGCAAAUAAUUCACAGAGAUGUUAAAACUUGCAACAUAAUGCUCGAUGCAGAUUUUAACGCCAAACUAGGGGAUUUUGGUCUAGCAGAAGAUUGAGCACAGUUCCAUCAUUGCAAGAGAAGCAACUAUACCAGCUGGAACAAUGGGAUAUCUUGCUCCGGAAUACGUUUAUUCAGGUGUUCCAACAGUAAAAACUGAUGUUUACAGCUUUGGUGUGGUGGUGUUAGAGGUAGCAAUGGGAAGAAAGCUGGUGGAGGAUGAUGGAACAGUGGUUUCUGAUUGGGUUUGAAGCAUGUGGGAAAAGGGAAAACUGAUUGAAGCUGCUGAUCUGAGGUUGAUGGGGAAGUUUGAUAUGGUAGAAAUGGCGAGGAUGCUGAUGACUGGGCUUGCUUGUGUGCACCCAAACCAUGUGAAGAGGGCAACGGUGAAGGAAGCUGCAACCAAGAAAACCAAGGGUAAGCCUUCGCCCCGUUUUCCUGAUGACCGUGAAGAAAUCCCGUUUUACUGUGGUGUUCGGCCAAGUCUCGAACUUGAUGAUGUACAAUAUUUGACUCCGAAGAGCCACUUGUAAGAAUAACUUACAUACAUAAUUAUCAACUAACACAUAGAAUCACAAUUAACCAGAGUCAAUACUAUCACACAAAAAUAGACACACAUCUGAGGAUGAAGAAGACAUGAUGCUUGAAAUAAAGAUAGUCUUCUACUGUCAUAAAACUGGAUGCUUUUGCUUUCAAUAGGACUCAGCACUCUAUCAAGCUUGUAUUUGGAGAGCAGGGACAAACCUUUUUAUAGUCACAUAAGACCUAUUGAUAUUCACCUAUUAGGAAAACAAUAGGUCUCUCAAUAAUUCAUCAUUAACUGCAAUAAGUCCACUACAUUAUUGUUUUGAAUGAUUCAUAUAACCUACUGUUACAAAACUCUAUUAACUUAAUCAAUACAGUUCUAUCAAAAUAAUGAUUAUGUCUACUCAAAUUCUUACAUUCUUCCACUUGAGUAUACAUAAUCACAUAGUAUUGAACUGUAUGAAAUUAAGUUAACAGUGAUCACUGAGUUUAUAUAACAAGAUUAUCAACUUAAACGUAGAUGUAAUCAACUAAAUCAAACCCAGAACUAUAGAAAUGUUGAUGCAUAUCAGCUGCAUCAUUACUCUAUAAUCACCGAAGCUUAACUCAACUAAUUACAAAGCUACAUGCCAAAUAAUGUAGUAUUGGAAGUGUCAUAUCUUAAUACUCCCACAUAAUUGGUCCAGACUUCAAGUUUACUAAAAAAAACUGGUUUAUUGCAGUAUCAACAAAUAUAGCUCUUUACAGAAUGAGCAAACAUUGAAUCACAACAUGAAAGGUUCACAAAAGAACUCAACAACGUUGGUAACGAAAUCCAACUUUUCUGUCAAUUUAGAAAUUAAUAAGAGAACAAGUAAAAUACGAUAUACUGUUUACAAAAUCAGGACCUCUUAUUACAACUUAUGAACAAAAUUUAAACCAAAUUUACUCUUAAAGUAUCAGCUACUAAGACUUCAAAUUUUCAACACAAAAUGUAAUCUCUUACUCCCACUAAUUAACACAGACAAAACUAUAUAUAAAUAAAUUAUUAUUAUUCCCACUGAUUAAGAGAGUAAAACAAAACUUUGUAAAUGUCUACAAAAUGAAACAGAUACCUUUCAAAUAAUCCCAUUAGCAAAACAUUAGUCAUGGGAUCUAAAACAUAAAAUUUGUGAGCUCAACAUCUUUAUUCUAGAUAUUUGUAGGGAAUAGACUCUUGUGACUGAAAAACUAUACAAAAUCAUUUGGUCAGUUUUGUUCAUCUAACAAUUGACAGAAAUAGAAAACAUUAACUAAAUGUUUUCUAUUGCAUCAAAAGCAUAUAAUUCUAGAAUCAUCUUUGGACAGAAACUUAUUAUAUUAGGUUUGCAUAGCUAAAACAUAAAAUACAAGGGCAAACGUAUAGAACUUUAACACUUUUGAGCAGAUGAAGUAUAUACCAUCUUGUCAAUUCCAUGAUUCACUAUGACCAUUAAAAGCAUACAAAAUUGAUGAGUGUGAAGCCCAUAAUAUAUUAUUUCUCCCACUUGGGCAUGCUUCACUAUGACCAUUAAAAGCAUACAAAAUUGAUGAGUGUGAAGCCCAUAAUACAUUUCUCCCACUAGGGCAAACACUCAAAAUUACAAGAUUAAACACUAGAGAAAGUGGUUUUCAUAUAACAAAAUAUAGUCUAGUUGAAUAAAUAAAGAUAGUAUACACAAUCCAUUAUAUAACAUAACAUGGCAAAUUUUUUACGAAGUUUGGAGUUAGAAAAAUCUAUCAAAAUUGUAAUCAAAUAGGACACGUUGCAAGGUAUGCAAAACUCCAUCAGCAUUUCCCAAGCUCUACCAAAAUUUCAGAUUUAAUCAUAAUUUAAAUAAAAUCAAUUUACAAUGUUUAAUAUGCUCAAAACACAAAAAUUUCUUAAAUAAAUUAGAGGUUCAUUUCAUUAGAUAAAUAACCUUUAAUAUGCCCAAAACUGUAAAAUUUCUUAAACAAAUUUGUUGAGUCACAAAAUAGUUGGUUUGGACAUAAUAAACCAAUCUAUAUGUAUCAAAAUUAGGCUUAUCUAAGGAACAAUAUCUCAACAUCAUUAAUCGAUAAAGGUGACAAGUGAUUAGAUAAACCAAUGGCUACUUUAAUCCAAUUUAGAACUCAUAGAAAAUUAAGGCAAAAGAUUGGCAAAUUUUCCUACUCAUUUUCGAUUCUGCAAGAUUCAUCAUGAAAGUAGUCGAGUUGUGGAGGAUCGAACCAACUCCAAAUUGCAUGAUUGUUACACCUUUAGGCAGAAACUAAUCAUGCAAAGCAAAUACUUGCAUAGUUAGUCAAAACAUAAAAUACACAAAAUACAUAUAGCUUCAACAGCUUUGGCCAGAUGAACAUAUGUUAAAAAAAAAUAUUUUACGAUUAGCUAUAAUACUAAUUUAUAAUUGGUGAGUGAUUUCCUGAAAUUCCUAUUGGGACAAAAGUAUUCACCAUAUAAAUUAGAAUUCUGAUUUUUCAAAAUAAUCUUUUACAACAAUAUUAAAUAACCGUUUUGUUGGAUAUUUAAUGAUUCUCAAAAGAUUCAAUCAGACAUAAAAGUAUGUCAUUGUUGACAUUGAACAAUAGAGUUAUCGAAAGAGGAAACAUGGUUAUUCAGUUAUUCGAUAGGGACCAAAAUGAUCAAUUAGUAAACUGAUGCCACUUUCCAAUUUUCUCUCAAAAGACAAUUAUCAUCAUAAUCAAAAUUGAUAACCAAACAAAACAUUGGUUUAAGCAAAACAAACCAAUACAUCUUUAAAUCAAAAUUUAAUCAAUGUUGUCUAAUAAGAGUCAUUAGUAUUAAGAAUUUGCAUUAAACAAGGCCAUAUUGGAACCAUAAACUAGUAUAAUAAUCGGUACCAAUAGAUGUGCACAAUAAGUGAAAACAAUAUCACAUAACAAAACUAGUUUUGAAGCACCAAAAUUCAGCAGUACUACUUCAGUUUGCAAAUUCACUAAAAAACUCAAUUCUCUUUAGAUUGUCAUGAAAAUUUUCAAGUAUGAACUAGACAUAUAUGACUACUAUUUUGCAAAAUUUCAUGAUUUUUAAAAUCUUAUAAGUGAGCCAAAAAUGAAUUCGGAAAGAGAGGUGCUGCAAAAACAGCAGAAAAUGGUAAGUACAUACCUAAGAUUACAAAUUCAUCAAAUAUUCAUUGUUCAUCCGAUAUGCAUCAGAAUUUUUUUCAGACAUAAAGUAAACAUAAAAACCUGUUAUUUCCCAAAAUUUCAUAAUUUUUGAGAUUUUACAAGUGUACUAAAAACAAAUUCGAAAUAAGUUGUGCUGCUGAAACAACAGAAAUUCUGCAAAACAUACCCGAGACUAAAUAAUUCACCAAACUUCAAUCUUCCUCCAAUGUGCACGAAAAUUUUCAGAAAUGAAGUAAGCAUAUAAAUUUACUGUCCCCAAAAAUUCCAUAAUUUGUUCGAUUUUACAAGUGGGCUAAAAAUAAAAUCGAAAUGGAAUGUGCUGCAGAAACUGCAUUAAUUCUGCAGUAUAGUCUCGAGAUUAAAAAUUCACUAAUAGUUCAUUUUCAAACCAAUGCUCGUGAAAAUUUCCAAAUUUGAAAUAAAUAUCUCAAUGUAUAUCAUACUAAAAUUCAUUGAAUUUAUCAAUUACAUAAAUAUAUCAAAAUAAUAUUACAAACACACUAUUCUGCAGAAGUCUGAAGAAUUCCAGCAACAUGGUAUCACACUUAAAAAUUUACCACAAAUCCAUUUCUUGUCCAAAAGACAUGAAAAUUUUGCAUGUAUAGAAUUCAUUAUAUACUUGAUACACAAAAUGCAAAUAGGUAACAAAAAUUCAUUCUUUUGGUGAUUCGACAAACAAGGUCUCCCUUUUCAUCAUAAAAGAAAAGGAUUUAGUCAUACAGACAACUUCGCUUAAAGUCUACAUCAGCAAAAUGUCCAAAUUUGGUAACCAUAUCAAAUUUCAAUGCAAAAGCCAAAAUUAUGGACCGAACUACAAUAUUUAAUCAUGCAAUCAAUAACCCGAUGUAGUUAAAAUAUAAGUUACUAUAGGCAGAAAAUCUAAACACUACCACUUCAAUUCUUCUCUUUAAUACAAGGGUAAUAGAUUCAUGAAAAAUAAUAGAAUAAGAGUGAGCGGAAGCAUGAAAAUCCCAGAAAAACAUAACAAUAGGAUUAUUUUAUAACGAUAAGAAAAUUUGAGAGGAUCCAUGUAUACACAAAAAUGAGGGAAAACAAGAAGACAAACCUCACAAACUCAUAACAAAAUUCCAUAUUAAUCCAUAGAAGGAUUUAUAUAUAAGUGUUUGAAAAUAAUCGAUAUCAUGUAAUUUAUUCAAAAGCAUGAUUCAAUUAAAUCAUACCCAUGUUUCCUAAUGGCGAGUGAUUCUCGCCGAAAGACUCCAAAAAUGACCAAAAUUUUAAACUUGACCAUUGACAACGUGAGUAGUGAUUGAAGAACGGCUUGCCCGUGACCAGUGUGUGAGAGAAAAAUUUGAAACACCAUGAGAAGCCAUAGUAAUUAUUAUUGUAAAUAGGAAUCCAAAAUUUCUAACAACAGUAAUGUUAAACCAGAAAACGAUUAACAACAUGUUUCGCUGGUUGAAGAAACAAAAGCUUAUAUCAAUAGUAACACCUUUGGGCAGAGACUGAGGAUAUAAUCAAAAGUUGCAUAACCAAAACAGAGAACACUUAAACAUAUAUAAAAUUCAACACCUUUGUGGUAGAUGAAAAAUAUACAAUCUAAAUAUUCCAUGCUUCAUUAUACACUGAUUCAUAGUUGGGCUAGACAAAUAAUUCCUUUGUGGAAAAAUGAAUCUAUCGAAUAACAUACAAACCACAAGUUGAAUUUCUAAGCAAUCUAAUAAGAAUACAAAUAAAUAAUCCACUUUGGUAGACAAUCUCAUUGUUUCUUAAAAGAUUAAAUCCAAGUCCAGGUUGUUGUCCUAAGAGACAAAAUUCAUCAUAAGCAAAAUUGAUGAAUUACAUAAUUGUUGAUUCAAACAAAAUAAUCAACAUGUUUCUUGUAUUUAAUAGAAUAAAACCAUACAAAAUCUCUAAUUUUAUAAUUUUCUUCAAUUAAAUGAUAAGAACUUGUUACUUCAAAUUAUUCCAGGAGAAAAAAAAAUAUUUCAUCCCAGAAUCAUCAAUAAACCAAGAAAAAUUAAAGUUAAUUGAAUUUGGGAAACAAAAGAAGUAUAUAUGCAAACAAUUGAGAAGUCGUAGCGUACCUUAUAUGAUUUAUUUUUGAGAAAUUGAGAAAAGAAAUCCAUAGUAUAAACAUGAUCAUGAUGCGGAAGCAAGAAAAACAGAAAGCCCAGGACAAGGAACGAAAAAACGAUGACGGAAGAAGACAGAUUUCUACCUUCCAUAGCAUAAAGUUUUCGAAUAGACUAAAAAGCUUAGGAUAAAAACCAAAACGUCAGUCUUUAAACCAAAAGCAUGCCGUUUUUAUGUGGUGGUGCGUUGAAGCUCUGAUACCACAUGUAAGAAUAACUUACAUACAUAAUUAUCAACUAACACAUAGAAUCAUUAUUAACCAGAGUCAAUAUAACUUACAUACAUAAUUAUUCAUGUAAGAAUAACUUACAUACAUAAUUAUCAACUAACACAUAGAAUCACAAUUAACCAGAGUCAAUACUAUCACACAAAAAUAGACACACAUCUGAGGAUGAAGAAGACAUGAUGCUUGAAAUAAAGAUAGUCUUCUACUGUCAUAAAACUGGAUGCUUUUGCUUUCAAUAGGACUCAGCACUCUAUCAAGCUUGUAUUUGGAGAGCAGGGACAAACCUUUUUAUAGUCACAUAAGACCUAUUGAUAUUCACCUAUUAGGAAAACAAUAGGUCUCUCAAUAAUUCAUCAUUAACUGCAAUAAGUCCACUACAUUAUUGUUUUGAAUGAUUCAUAUAACCUACUGUUACAAAACUCUAUUAACUUAAUCAAUACAGUUCUAUCAAAAUAAUGAUUAUGUCUACUCAAAUUCUUACACCACUUUGGCAAGGAUUAGUUGCUCGUAACAGAUCAAGUAACCUCAUAAUUAGAAGGAUUUCAGUGCAAUUUGUAAUAGAGAAACUAGGAGCUUGUUGUUGACUGGGAAACUUGAGGAACCCCUCAGGUGCUUCAGUUAAUUUGCAGAUUUUGUAGUCUGAAAUGUGUUUGAUGUCUUAUGGUAAUGAAAUGCUCAGUGUUUCCUUGUCUGUUUUAUCAUGAUUGACAUGGUCUCAAGCAUUUUGUUAUUAGCUGGCGGACUUAAUUAUUCAAAUGAUGUUCGGAAGAUUAAGUUUCGUGUUUCAUCCAAAUAUUCCUUUUGAAUUUUGUACCUGGUACAGCAGCUAGAUAGGAUUGGCAUGUUCUCAAAUUCACUGACUAGAUGUAUACUGAUAGGUUUGUCUGGUUUUUGCGGAAGGGCCCUUUGGAAACUGAACAGAAAAAGUAUUGCUGUUUCAGGACUGCACAACCAGUUUCCAUUAGUUAAAGAAACAAACUGAAACAAGUCAAUUCUUCCUUUCUAUAAAAAUUUGAAAUUCAAGUCCCUGGUAUUAACAUUAAAGGUGUUUUCAGAAAAUGAACCUCAAGAUUAGCAAUGACAUCAGGCAAGAUAAAUCACAUUGGUGAUCAGAAACUUGUGGUUCAUUCUUGUACAAGGAAGAAACAUAGAGGCCAACUGAACGGCGCGAGGAUAGUACUCGUACUUUAAGUCCGGCUCCUCCAAUUCUUCCCAAGCUUAUGAUGGGGACUGGUUUUACAGUGAACUGAAAUGAAAUUCAGAAAUGAAAAACUCUUUGUUAGUGUCAGAUGUCUCUGUUAGAUUUCUGUAUUAUAAUAUUUUAGAUUUUGUAAGGAAGAAGAAUUUGGAAUUGGAUUUGUUAUUGGCACAUUACAAGCUCACUAUCAAAUACUUAAUCAAUCUUCUUAGGGAAUUGUUAUUGGAACUCUAAAAAUCUCAUUUUACACUCUAAAUUUUCUAAAAGAAAAAUACACUUGUGAGUAGUGUAAAAUGAGAUUUUUUUAGUGCUAAUAACAGUUCCCUCUUCUUAAUGCAAUCAGCAAAAGUGUUUAUACAUCAACAUUCUUAUCCACUUUCCUUUCAAUAAAUAUGGCCAUCUUAAUAUAUAUAGCUUGUGGGAUUUGAGUCCAUUGACUAAAAUAUUUUUAAAGACAAUUAAGCUGAUGGGAUAAACCGACAGUGACUUACCUACAUUUAUUAUAAGAUGGUGACUAACAAUGCCUUUUGCAGAUUUGUUUUGUGUCUUUAAAGCCAGCACUUCUAGGUCCACUUAGAGUUGCCUCGUCACGAUAUUCACAUGUUCGUUCCAGGAUUUUGUGGUUGGUUGAGUUCUUCCAAAUCUUGCUUGUACAGCAAACGAGCCCCACACUUCUUCACAUAUUGCAAGUAUGCUUCUUCCAUUCUAUGACCAUAAGAGUAAGUGCCGAAGAAAAAGUUUUCACCACGACAAUCUCGACGAAGCAAAUAGAAUACCCAAAAGUGUUCUGACUCGAGAGACCUUAUUUCUUUGGUCAAAAUCUUAGUAUCAGCUAAACACUUAAUUUCGAAAUAAUUAUAAUGACGCUUAAGAUCUUGAAAAACAACACAAAAGGUAAUCCCCAGCCAGUUGGUACAUGAUGGUGGAGGAAGCUCCACAUCUAUUGAAUGUCCCGCACUCUGAUUACUGAACCACUCUGGAAUUUCACUUCCAGGGCAUACCAUACCUCUCAAAAAAUUUGAGAUUCCCUGUGGCUGAAGAAAGAUCAAUUAUUUAGAGAGAGAGAGAGAAGAGAGGGAGAGAGGGAGAGGGAGAGAGAGAGUACCUCUUGAUCAGUGGCAAAUUUUAGAAUCCUUGAGAGUAUCCAGCCUUCAUCUUGAACCAAUGCAAUGCAAUUCAGGCAAGUGAAAUUAAAAUCAUACAAAUUGGCAAAUCUGCUGUUCAACUUGGAUGGAUCUGACAAACUUCGCAAGGAAGUACAAUUGUCUACAUCUACAUGUAAUUUGCUAUUAGAUGGAAGAGGUGGCAAUUUUUGAAGGCUUUUGCACCUUUCCAGAUCAAGAUACGAAAGCUUAGAAAGGCAUCUAAUGCUUUCAGGUAGACUGACGAAAUUAUUUCCACUAAGAUCCAAUCUUUCCAGAAAGGACAAGCAGCCAAUAUCAUCGGGGAUAUCUCCUUCACGGAGUUUACAAUCUUUUAGAGAUAACUCUGUUAACUCUGUCAAAGAGCAUAAACUAUUUAGAGAAGACAACACCAAAUCCAAACAAGGAGGAUCAGGACGACUCUUUCCAAGUCCUAGUAAGCGGAGAAGGCCCCACCCCUCCCUUGCUUUAGCAUCCGAUCCGUUACAUAAGUUAUCCAUGUCUCUUGGGAGUUUGUCAAUUUUUGAGCAUCCUUGCAUUCGGAGUCUUCUAAGAGACUUCAAAUUACAAAUAGUCGUCGGAAGGUUCAAGAGAUAUGAGCAACCAACUAGACACAACUCCUGGAGGCCAACCAAAUGUCCAAUUGAUGAAGCUAUUUUCUCUAUCAGAGUCGCACUUAAGUCAAUCGAGGACACAUUCUUCAUCUGCUCCCCAAAUUCUGGAAUCUUUUUCACAUCUGAGUUGCUAAGACUUAAAGAUUCCAGAGAAUCCAUUUUAAGCUCACUUGGGAGGCUCUCAAGUUUUAAGUAGCAUUCAAAAUUCAAGUUCAAGUUUUUUAAGAUGUGCAAUAGACGGGUGUAUCUCAACUAAAUUGAAACAACCUCGAAGAUUCAACUUCACAAGAUUUGGAACACCACUGAAAUCCGGGUACUCUUCAAUUUACCUGAGUUUCUAAGAUCGAUCCAUCUCAAGUUGGGCAAGUCCUGUACAACAUCGAUAAGAUUCAGAUCAUAUAAAUAAAUAAAUAAAUGAUUAUUUUGUAUAUUAAAUAGCAUUUAUUCAAGGAUGAAUAAUAAUUAUGUACUCACUAGUGAGUACUCUAUAUGCUCAUUUUUGUUUUGGUUCUUGUUCUUUAUUUUUAAAGCCCAAGAAAAAUUAAAUAGCAUGUCCAUUAUUUUUGAAAAUAAUAAAAUAUACUUGUCCAAAAAGUGAGUACUGAUUAGUCACUACCCAAGUGGUAUCAUUUUAUUCAACACUACUCUCAUCACUUUUUUUUUUUUUUAAUGGUAAAAAUACUACUCUUACCACUUUUCCCUCCCAUAACCGAACAAGACUGCUUCCAUACAUGUGAAGUUCAGUAAGGUGGCGCAUGGGAAAGUUGGUUGGAAGAAAAUUAGAAGGAUAUUGAAACCAGUAUAUAUAUCUCAAUGAACACGGAAGAAAUUUAGGGCCUGAAGAAAAGAAAACUUGAUCGAUUGUCAAAAUCCUCAAUCUAUCCAUCUUAGAGAAGGCUUCCCAAUUCCACUCGCGUUUCACAUAUGUUAUAGGCAUGUGUAAUGAUAUGACUUCAAUUGCACUCAAACCCUGACAAUUAAGAAAAAAAGACAAAUUAAUUUCACAUUCAAGUAUAUUAGUGUCAAAAGUUCAUUCAAACUUGGUAUUUUACUUCUUACCAUAUUGGUCGCCAUAUUGGUCGUGAAUACAUGAGAAAUGUCAUCGUUAAGCCACAACCUACUGCGUAGACCAGACUCUUUAGACCUGUGACCAAUAAUUGUCCAUGCCAUUUCUUCUAUCAAAUCAUGCAUCCGUAUGCAUUUUUGGUGAUCUUGAUAGAGGAGAAAUCUCUCAAUUAGUACAUCUAUCACAAUAUGGCUAGAGAUUCCAAAAGAAUUAGAACUAUCUAGACUUUCAAUUACUUGCUUCCUGUAAUACCCUUUGUAGAAACAUGCAACAUCGAGAAAAUGCUCUUCUCCCACUCUUCUAGUGCAUCAUAACUUACUUUAAGUUUAUCAAAAAUAGCUGGAUUAGGAAUUUUUGAUAGAUUAUCCCGUACACUAUGCCAAGCAUCUAGCCCUCUCUUAAACAAAGCCGACCCCAAAGUUUCAAGAGCUAAUGGAAGGCCUCCAGCAUGAUUGUCAUAACAUUCAUCAUAAUUAUCAAUCACAUUAUUAAAAAGAUAGUUAAACACACACACACACACACACACACAUAUAUAUAUAUAUAUAUCACAAUCUUCAUCAGUGCACGAGCCAAAUCCUAUUUAAUAAGCAUAUGAUGGCUAUAUAUAUAUAAAUCACAUUUCAAUAAAAAUCAUAUUUAUAAGACUAAUUCAUAUUCACAAUUGAUACCAAAUAAGAAAUUCAGAUAAUAAACAUAUCUCAUAUAUUCAAGUCACUAUCUAACUAACAUAGGUCCACUGGUCACGCACCGUCGCAUGAGCCGCUGCGGGUGGCGGUUGACUGCCCCGACUCACCGGAAAAAUUCAACUAUCUUUAAAAAUUACCAAAAAUUACAUAAAUGAAGAUCUCAAGGAGUAGAGCAAACUUUAUACCUGUGGCCAAGUCUAAUUUGGCCGGGAAGGCCCUCAAAUUGGCUCGCACCCGUCGAAACCCUAAAGUGGGUGUUCUUCAAUUUGGCUCCCUUGGUGUUCCAACGCCCCAACCACCAAUUGGGUCUUGUUCUUGGGUCCAAGGGAAGUUGAUUAAGGGUGAUGGUGAAUGGUGAUACUCACCAGAAUGACGAAUCGCCGUCAAGAACCCCCGGUUUUUCGGUGGAGUUCUACUCGAAUUAGACCUUAAAAACCCUUGAUUUUUGGUGGAGAUGGAAGGAGGAAGGUAGCUGAGUAGGUUGCAGGUGAUGAAUGGGUGCAAAACGCCUAAAAAAUGAAGGAUUUUGGCCUGACAUUGGCUGGAUCGAAACCAUUUUUUUCAUGGGUGCUUGGGUUUACAAAUUUGGGGGGGGGGGGGGGGGAGGGGCAUCCUUUCGCUCAUUUUCUUUUCUUCUCUUGCCACUCCCGUGGCUUUCUUUUUUUUUUUUUUUUUUUUUUUAAAGCAACACAACUUCAUACGUCCGUAACUAUACUGUUAUAAUCCGGACUCGCAAACGGUUUUCGCCUAUGCGUUCAUGACUUCAAGACCUAUUCGAAAACGUUACUUGUGACCUCGAAAAGUCAACGAGUAAAUAAUAAUUUUCCAAACUUCGCUCUUCAUAACUAGUUUAAUUGAAAUCUAAUUUCAAAUAAAUUAAUAUAAAUUCUCGAAAAAAUAAUAUAAAUCUCAAUAAUACAAAUACGUAGAUUAUAACAGUAAAAUCCAAGAAUGGGAUUUCACGUCUUUACCGUUAGAGACACCGUUAUAUCUUGGAGAUCUACCAAGCAAACGCUAGUUGUGACUUUGUCGAACUAUGCUGAGAUUUUCGCCCUGCAUGAAGCAUCGCGUGAGUGCUUUUGGUUGAGAGAAGUCAUGGGACAUAUUUGAAGCAUUAGUGGUCUUACAUCAGUCGUUGACCCUCCUACGACGAUCUUUGAAGACAAUGCAACAUGUAUCGAGCAGUUAAAGAAGGGAUACAUCAAGGGAGACAACACCAAGCACAUAACGUCGAAGUUCUUUUACUCACACCAACAGCAGCAGCAGCAUCAAAACAUUGAAGUCAAGCAAAUCCGUUCCCAGGAGGAUAACUUGGUCAAUCUCUUCACCAAGUCAUUGCCCAAGUUUACUUUUCAAAAGCUUGUCCAAGGAAUCAUUAUGCGUAAAUUAUCUGAGUUAAAUCGCAUGUAGUUCUCUUAUUUAGAAGUUAUGGCUAGCUCAGGGGGAGUAUCUAGAAGCAUACUUACAUGAUCUUAAUGUACUCUUUUUCCUACGAUUAGGAGCAUUUUUUUCCACUGGGUCUUUGCUACCUAACGAGGUUUUAACGAGGCACCCAUCCUGGGAUGAUCAUACUCCGUUGAGUUCACUACUUUCGUCCUGUUUGACAUUUGUUUUAGAUAUUAUGCAUACUUCUCACCUUUCUCCUUAAUCUAUGGGUUUUCCUCGUGCCUUGGGUAUUACCAUAGUUAGGUUUUGUGAGUUUUACUACAAAUGCAUACUUCCUUAAACUUGAGACUCGCGAUCACCCGUUGUGCCAAUGACUUCAUCAACAAUUCUACCUUAUCGCUGAAUAUCUAAUGCGAUGUUUGUUGAGUAUUUACACACUCAAGGGGGAGUGUUGCAGUCAUAUUUAGAAUAAGAAUGUGAUUGUGUAAAUCCUUAUAGUUAUGGGAAUGUAUCUUAUAUUCCUAUUAAUUAUGAGUUUAUUAUCUAUUAAAUGUUGUAAUCAUAAAAGGAAAGGUUUACCUAUUCUACUACUAUAAAUAAAGGCACAAUGAGGUAAAUUAAACACACCUCACAAUUAAAUCACUCUCUCUUCUCCCUCACUACCUCCGGCCCAUCUCUCUUUCUAAACCCUAAGAUCGUUCAAUCAAAUAGGCCUACAACAAAAACUAGUUUCUUGAGCUUUCAAAAUUUGUAUUUUGAGCUUUAAUUUUAGUUUCUAAUCAACACCAUGACACAAGCCAUAAAGUAACAAAACCAAUAAAAUGUCAACUGAAAACGUUAUAUGUGAAAAAGAACAAUGAAUUACAUGAAAUGAAAACGUCAAAGUAGGCAUGUAGUCAACCUAUGUUGUCACGCCACAAAUUAAAGUACAAUGCGAGCUGGUGACAAAUUUGAGCCACACCGCGGUAAUUCAUGCAAUGUAAAUCUCUCUCAAAGAAGCAACAAGAAAAUCCUCAUGCAAGAGUUCUCCACUUUCUUACUCGUUCAAGAGGAAAGCUGAAAGGACAAGUAUUUUCCAAAAAAAAAAAAAAAAAAGGUGGAAGACAGACUAUGGAAAUUUUCCAGGAAGCAAGAGUUUAGAGUAAGUUCUCAACUUUCUUCUGAGAAAAGAUAUUCAUGUCUCUUUUUCUUUUCUCUUCAGUGAUGCUAAAGCCAACUAGUUAUCUUAUUUCUACAGCCACUUUCCAAUACUUGUUCCAAAGAUUUUCCACAAAAAAAAGUAGAAGACUGACUACAAGGAAAAUAUUUAUGUCACCCACCAUGAAAUUUGUAUAUAGGUUUUUUUCACACAUCUGUUCAUUAGGUCCACUAACAAUGUUGAAGUCAUUGUGGAAUAUGCUGAGAUUUCCCCUGUCAUUUAGACAAACCUUCUCAUGGUUACACCCUACCCCCAGCAAUUGGCAAUAUCAAAUCUGAUAAAACUAGUCAAACAAAUGACAAGCCUUCAAUGCAAGCUGCAAUGUAAGAGUUGAGUUGAAAUGAUCCAUACAUCAAAUAAAAUGAUCAUUCAUAAGAAUCAUGAAACCUAGGCUAAGUUCCAUGGGCUCUUAAGGUCCCUCAUCAAAACAUAGAAUAACCACUGCAUUUGGAUGAUGGUAUUUAAAGUUCCAUGAAAACAAGGCUACACCUUCAGAAACGCACUACAAAAAAAUAGAUAGAGGGGCUUCAAAAUGACUAGAUGCAAACAUUUGAGAGAAAUUUCAAAUGAUACCUUGAAAGUCCUUUGUUGCGUGUCAUUCUACUGCACUACUUGUGUUUUAGUAGUAACUUUGUAGUGCUUUAGUAUAGUUUAUCAGUAGUGUUCUUGUAGUGCAUCUUUAACAAUUAAGUCUAAAGUUUGUCCCUCAUUCAAAGACAUAACAAAACACCACAACUCUAAGUUAUAUACAAAAAACACUUCAAGAGCUCAAUGAAGAAAAAAAAACUUGUCUAUCCACUUGUCAUGCUCUAAUUGAUUCUUAGUUGGAAAAUCCUUCUCCAUCAUCAAGUAAGUUGGUUUUUUUUUUCUUUUCUUUUUUAACUAUUGGGUUUGAAGUGGUUUUCUCUAAAGAUCAAGUAUCGUCAUCUUCCAGGAGAAUCUACUCACUAAAUUCGUUAUCUCUUAUAAGAAGUAAUGCUAGGAAGACAAAAUUUAUAGACUAUAAUUGCAAACUAAAUGAUGUGUCACUAAUAAGAAAUGAGCAUGUUUAUCAACGUUUAAGUAAUAAUUCAAUCAUCAACUUCCAUGUCAUUUAGUUUACAAAACUUAGUCUACAAAUUUAGUCUUUCUAACAUUACUCAUCUUUAAGUUAGGAAAUGAACGAAUUAGUUUUAAAAUGAAAGCGAAAUAUGGUACAACAGAGUUUACAUAGUUUCUACUUCUUUAUACGUACACCAGUUUCUACUUCUUUACACAGUCAAAAUCAAUAAAAUUAACAUAACGAACCGUCGAUGAAUGCCCCGUCACUAAAACGCAGCAUAACAUAUGUCAUAUCUACUGCUUUCCUAGUAAAACCGACAUCUUUAUGGCCACAAACUUACAUGAAUCAACUUCAUGAAAUCUAAUUUCUGAUGAUCAAUAGAAUUCAAUUGUUAUGUAUGUGAUAUCGGCAGGGUUGGAUCAACCGGAGCUUGAAUUUUUCGUUAAGAUCGAACAUAACUGAUUUUUCUGAUUUGCAGUGCCCUUUUAUUAAUGGCAGAACUGAUUCUAUUGUCUAAACCCCUUUGUCUAAAGUAUUGUAAUGAGCAGCCACGGGUACGACACUAUCUUCAAGUGGUGAUAAUCUUUACCACCUUAUUUAGCCAUUUUGGAGAAAAAGUAUUUGAAAAUUAAAAAAAAAAAACAAAUAAAGGAUGAGGUGAAAUUGGCCAGCUCAAUAAUUUUCUUCCCUUUUUUUGAAGCGCAUUCCGGAAACUUACUAAAAAUUUGGGUAAAUUUAUAGACAAGAAACAGUAAUGCAACUUGGCACAAAUAGCAGGAUUUCAAAAACCAAAAGCUGAAUUACUCACUACAAUCCAAUGUCUUCAGGAUUUUAGCAAUUAAUUAUGUCACUAAAUUAAUUGAGCUAUUUCCACGGAGGCUCUACGAAUUAUAAAUUAAUCGGACAUUGUACAAUUACAAAAGGAGCCACCAUGCGCCUCAGAUAGUGUUAUUUGAGAUAGAAUCUAUUAUACUUUGAUUGGUGAAGACAAUGAAAUAACGGAAUAUGUGAAUUGAAAAUGAAUUGAACAUAUGACUCAUUAUCUCUUAGUUCAAGAAGAGACCUGAAAACCUUAGUGACCCAUGUACCACCUUACAACCGUAGAAAAGAAAAACAAUCGUACGGGACAAAGACAAUACACAAUUCUAGAUAUUUCAGUAAUCAAAACAUAAGUUUCUGUGCAAGAGGUAACCUUUUAUAGUCCUUUUGAAUCAUGUGCCCUGCUUCAGUUCCCUUACCAAACUGGAUAAAAGUCUUAUCCAAGGCAAUCCCUCCUAAUCCUGUGUUACAAACGGGUCCAAAAUACUCCAUCCAAGUUCUGCCCAUCACCCAAACAAGCAGGCCCAGUUCUUGUGCGACAUAGCUAACUUUUUACUUGGGACCUAAAAUUGGGUUUCAGUCGAUCAGUCAAAUGGGGCAAUUUUCCCUAUCAAGUCGCUCCGUCUCCCAGUCCCUCUCUCUCAUUUAUUCGACUGGUUGAAGCUUUCAAGUAUCAAGAUUGGCAGAAGCAUCCGCAGAAAUCCAGAUGGGAAGAAAAUCCUGGUACUACUCUAUCACUGCUUCUCUACAAUUUUCCCGGAAAGUUUCUGCAUUUGGGUUUACAGCAAUGCAUUCAUCUCGUCCAUUUCUCUUCUGUGUCCUUUUCUUUUUCGUCUCCAACCUCAGUUUCCCUUCGCUUUCUGUCCCGUUCUUGCCUGCGACGAACAAUAACCUCACCCUCUUAGGCGACGCUUCCAUCACCAACAACGCCAUUAGUCUCACUAAAGAACUCACCACAUGCCCCUCCUCUUUCCCUUCUGCUUCUUCUGGCGUUGGAAGAGCAUUUUACGCCUACCCAAUUCGGUUUCUUGACUUGAAAACCAACGCCACUGCCUCUUUCUUGUGCCGAUUCUCUUUCUCAAUCACUCCAAGUUCCCAAUUGUGUUCUUCUGGAGAUGGCAUUGCGUUUGUGAUCACCCCCGAUGUUGAUUCUCUGGGAUCAUCCAGAGGUGGAGUAUAUGGGACUUCUGGAGCCAUCCUCAGUGUCAAAAGAAUAGUUCUUCGCCAUGGAAUUCGAUCCUAGGUUUGAUCCUAUGGUUGGUGACACCAAUGGUAACCACAUUGGUAUUUAUGUGAACACGGUUGUGUCUGUUGACUGUGUUGAUGUUGUGUCAAGAGGAUUUGAUUUGACAAGUGGGAGGGAGAUUACUCCUUGGAUUGAGUACAGAUGCUGUCAAGCUGAUUCGGGUUUGGGUUGGAUACUCUUGAACUAGGCCUCCAACGUCUCUGCUUAAUGCUCCGAUUGACCUCUUCAACCAGUUCAUGGGUGUCGGUUUCUCUGCCUCGAAUGGGCAGGGCUCUUCAAUUCAUAUUGUUGAUAGGUGGAGAUUCAAGACUUUCAGGUCUCUUCCACCUGGGAUUCUUACAGAUACCUUUGAGGAAGGGGACUGCUUCAUGUGCUCGUCACCAGAAGAUUCAAGUACCAAAAGCAGCCCUGAAAAUCGCUGCCAUGAAAGGAAAACAAAGACAGUGGAGAUGGCUCUUGGGUUGGGAGGUUUAGCUACAUAUGUUGUCUCCAUACUCACGUUUGUUUUUGUCAUUUGUUUUGUGUGUGUGAAGAAGAGAAGGGUCGCAUCAGCUAAGGUUUGUAAAGGGUCUUUGCCCUCUGAGGGAGAAGUGGCAGUGAAAAGGUUUGAGAGGGCUGAUGGGAUCGGUAGUCUGCGUAAUCCUUUCACCACGGAGUUUGCAACUAUGGUGGGUUGUUUGCGGCAGAAGAAUUUGAUUCAGCUUCAUGGGUGGUGUUGUGAGGGUAAUGCGUUAGUCCUGGUGUACGAAUACAUUGCCCAACGGAAGUCUCAACAAAGUUCUCCACAAAAGCUUCAAUUCAGCAGUUGUCCUAUCCUGGAAGCAAAGACUUGAUAUAGUUCUCGCAGUCGCUUCUGCUCUUGCAUAUCUUCACGAGGAGUGUGAGAGGCAAAUAAUUCAGAGAUGUUAAAACUUGCAACAUAAUGCUCAAUGCAGAUUUUAACUCCAAACUAGGGGAUUUUGGUCUAGCAGAAGUGUAUUGAUCACAGUUCCAUCAUUGCAAGAGAAGCAACUAUACCAGCUGGAACAAUGGGAUAUCUUGCUCCAGAAGACGUUUAUUCAGGUGUUCCAACAGUUAAAACUGAUGUUUACAACUUUGGUGUGGUGGUGUUAGAGGUGGCAACGGGAAGAAAGCCGGUGGAGGAUGAUGGAACAGUGGUUGCUGAUUGGGUUUGGAGCAUGUGGGAAAAUGGAAAACUGAUUGAAGUUGCUGAUCUGAGGUAUAUGGGGAAGUUUGAUAUGGAAGAAAUGGAGAGGAUGCUAAUGACUGUACUUGCUUUUGUGCACCCAAACCAUGUGAAGAGGGCAACGGUGAAGGAAGCUGCAAGGAUUCUUAAAGGCAAAACCCCUCUUCCUCUGCUGCCACCAAGAAAACCAAGGGUAAGCCUUCGCCCCGUUUUUCCUGAUGACUGAAGAAAUCACAUUUUGCUGUGGUGUUUGGCCAAGUCUCGAACUUGAUGAUGUACAAUAUACUGAUUUACGGGUUUGUCUGGUUUUUGCGGAAGGACCCUUUGGAAACUGAACAGAAAAGGUAAUGCUGUUUCUGGACCGCACCACCAGUUUCCAUUAGUUACAAAAACAAACUGAAACAAGUCAAUUCUUCCUUUCUAUAAAAAUUUGAAAUAUAAGUCCCUGAUGUUAACAUUAAAGGUGUUUUCAGAAAAUGAACCUCAAGAUUAGCAAUGACAUCAAGCAAGAUAAAUCACAAGGAAGAAACAUAGAGGCCAACUCCACGGCGCUAGGAUAGUACUCCUCGUACUUCAAGUCCAGCUCCUCCAAUUCCUCCCAAGCUUAUGAUGGGGACUGGUUUUACAGUGAACUGAAAUGAAAUUAAAAAAUGAAAAACUCUUUGUUAGUGUUAGAUUUCUGGAUUAUAAUAUUUUAGAUUUUGUAAGGAAGAAGAAUUUGGAAUUGGAUUUUUGGGUUUUGGAUUUUGGAUUUUCUGGCAAGAGCAGAAUUGCAGAGAGAAUUUCAGAUGAAAUGACACUUUUUUCAUUCACACAAUGAGGGUGGCCUGUCACCAGUCAACAAGAUAUAAUCCUAACUAUCCAAAUAAGUCAUCCUAUGAGAUGCUUACACAUGGUAUGAGCCAUGGCUUCUUCAAAUAAGACAACUAUAAAACUAAUGGUACACAUGGACAAUGAUCCGAUGGUCCACAUUACAAGCUCAAUAUCAAAUUCUAUAUCAAUCUUCUUAAGGAAUUAUUGUUGACACUCUAAAAAUCUCAUUUUACAUUCUAAACUUUCUAUAAUUAAAAAAAAUACACUUGUGAAGAGUAUAAAAUGAGAUAUUUGAAAUGCUAAUAACAGUUCUCUCUUCUUAAUGCAAUCAGCAAAAGUGUUUAUUCAUCAACAUUCUUAUCCACUCGCCUUUCAAUAAAUAUGGUCAUCUUGAUAUAUAUAGCUUGUGAGAUUUGAGUCAAUUGACUAAAAUAUUUUUAAAAACAAUUAAGUUGAUGAGAUAAACCGACGGUGACUUACCUACAUUUAUUAUAAGAUGGUGACAAACAAUGCCUUUUGCGGAUUUGUUUUGUGUCGUUGAAGCUCACACUUCCAAAUCCACUUGGAGCUGCCUUGUCACAAUAUUCACGUGUUCGUUUCAGGAUUUUGUGUUUGGUUGAGUUCUUCCAAAUCUUGCUUGUAUAGCAAACGAGCCCCACACUUCUUCACACGAAUCCAGUAUACUUUUUCUCCUUCCCUACUAACACCAUCAAAGUAGGUUUCGAAUAAAAACUCAUCUUGACAACAAUCUCGACGAAGCAAAUAGAAUACCCAAAGGUGUUCUGACUCUAGAGACCUUAUUUUUUUGGUCCAAAUCCUAGGGCCAUCCAUAUAAGAAAAACACCGAAUUUCGAAAUAAUCAUAGAGAUGAAGACCAGCUAGAAUGACCCAGUUUGGCGUAAGAUCUUGAAAAAGAACACAAAAGGCAAUCCCCAGCCAGUUGGUACAUGAUGGUGGAGGAAGCUCCACAUUUACUGAAUGUCCCACACUCUGAAUACUGAACCACUUUGGAAUUUCACUUCCAGGGCAUAACAUACCUCUCAUAAAAUUUGAGAUUCCCUGUAGUAGAAGAAAUAUCAAUUAUUUAGAGAGAGAGAGAGAGAGAGAGAGAGGGAGAGAUAGAAGAUCAAUUAUUUAGAGAGGAGGGGGGGGAGAGUACCUCUUGAUCAGUGGCAAAUUUUAGAAUCCUUGAGAGUAUUGUAUUAAUCCAGCCUUCAUUUGGAACCAAUGCAAUGCAAUUCAGGCAAGUGAAAUUAAAAUCAUACAAAUUGGCGAAUCUGCUAUUCAACUUGGAUGGAUCUGACAAACUUCGCAAGGAAGUACAAUUGUCUACAUCUACAUGUAAUUUGCUAUUAGAUGGAAGAGGUGGCAAUUUUUGAAGGCUUUUGCACCUCUCCAGAUCAAGAUACGAAAGCUUAGAAAGGCGUCUAAUGCUUUCAGGUAGACUGACGAAAUUAUUUCCACUAAGAUCCAAUCUUUCGAGAAAGGACAAGCAGCCAAUAUCAUCGGGGAUAUCUCCUUCACGGAGUUUACAAUCUUUUAGAGAUAACUCUGUUAACUCUGUCAAAGAGCAUAAACUAUUUAGAGAAGACAACACCAAAUCCAAACAAGGAGGAUCAGGACGACUCUUUCCAAGUCCUAGUAAGCGGAGAAGGCCCCACCCCUCCCUUGCUUUAGCAUCCGAUCCGUUACAUAAGUUAUCCAUGUCUCUUGGGAGUUUGUCAAUUUUUGAGCAUCCUUGCAUUCGGAGUCUUCUAAGAGACUUCAAAUUACAAAUAGUCGUUGGAAGCUUCAAGAGAUAUGAGCAACCAACUAGACACAACUCCUGAAGGCCAACCAAAUGUCCAAUUGAUGAAGCUAUUUUCUCUAUCGGAGUCGCACUUAAGUCAAUCGAGGACACAUUCUUCAUCUGCUCCCCAAAUUCUGGAAUCUUUUUCACAUCUGAGUUGCUAAGACUUAAAGGUUCCAGAGAAUCCAUUUUAAGCACACUUGGGAGGCUCUCAAGUUUUGAGCAGCAUUCAAAAUUCAAAAUUCAAAAGUUCAAGUUUUUUAAGAUGUGCAAUAGACGGGUGUAUCUCAACUAAAUUGAAACAACCUCGAAGAUUCAACUUCACAAGAUUUGGAACACCACUGAAAUCCGGGGUACUCUUCAAUUUACCUGAGUUGCUAAGAUCGAUCCAUCUUAAGUUGGGCAAGUCCUGUACAACAUCGAUAAGAUUCAGAUCAUAUAAAUAAAUAAAUAAAUGAUAAUUUUGUAUAUUAAAUAGCAUUUAUUCAAGGAUGAAUAAUAAUUAAGUACUCACUAGUGAGUACUCUAUAUGCUCAUUUUUGUUUUGGUUCGUGUUCUUUAUUUUUAAAGCCAAAGAAAAAUUAAAUAGCAUGUCCAUUAUUUUUGAAAAUAAUAAAAUAUACUUGUCCAAAAAGUGAGUACUGAUUAGUCACUACCCAAGUGGUAUCCUUUUAUUCAAAACUACUCUCAUCACUUAAUUUUUUUUAAUGGUAAAAAUACUACUCUUACCACUUUUCCCUCCCAUAACCGAACAAGACUGCUUCCAUACAUGUGAAGUUCAGUAAGGUGGCGCAUGUGAAAGUUGGUUGGAAGAAAAUUAGAAGGAUAUUGAAACCACCAUAUAUAUCUCAAUGAACACGGAAGAAAUUUAGGGCCUGAAGAAAAGAUCGAAUUCAAAUUAUCGACUCUCAAAAUCCUCAGUCUAUCCAUCUUAGAGAAGGCUUCCCAAUUCCACUCGACCACUUCUGAUCUAGGCAAGGUUAAUGAUAUGACUUCAAUUGCACUCAAAUCCUGACAAUUAAGGAAAAAGGACAAAUUAAUUUCACAUUCAAGUAUAAUAGUGUCAAAAGUUCUUUCAAACUUGGUAUUUAACUUCUUACCGUAUUGGUCCUGAAUACAUGAGAAAUGUCAUCAUAGAGCCACAACCUACUGCGUAGACCAGGCUCUUUAGACUUGUGGCCAAUAAUUGUCAAUGCCAUUUCUUCUAUCAAAUCAUGCAUCCGUAUGCAUUUUUGGUGAUCUUGAUAGAGGAAAGAUCUCUCAAUUAGUACAUCUAUCACAAUAUGGCUAGAGAUUCCAAAAGAAUUAGAACUAUCUAGAAUUUCAAUUACUUGCUUCCUGUAAUACCCUUUGUAGAAACAUGCAACAUCGAGAAAAAUGCUCUUCUCCCACUCUUCUAGUCCAUCAUAACUUAUUUUAAGUUUAUCAAAAAUAGCUGGAUUAGGAAUUUGUGAUAGAUUAUCCCGUACACUAUGCCAAGCAUCUAGCCCUCUCUUAAACAAAGCCGACCCCAAAGUUUCAAGAGCUAAUGGAAGGCCUCCAGCAUGAUUAAUGAAAUACUUAGAUAGUUCCCAAAAAACUUCCUCGGGUUGGUCUUUUUUAAAGGCAUGCAGGCUAAAGAGCUUAAGUGCUUCAGCAUCAUUCAACCCCUCCACCUUAUAUGAUGUUGCAAUAUCAUGUUGGACUAGCAGACGCUGAUUCCUAGUUGUAACGAUAAUUCUACUCCCCAUACCAAACCAACCUUGAUUUCCAGCCAACACUUGGAGUUGCUUUAAUUCAUCCACGUCAUCAAGUACAAGAAGAACCUUUUUAUUGUGUAAGAACUUCUCAGUGAGAACACUUGCGCGCUCUUCAUCCCAAAUUUCUUCGGUCCUUUCCUUCAAGAGCGGGGAAAUAAGUCUUUUUGCAAGAUCAACUAUACCAUUUUUUGCACAAGCCUCUCUAACAUUGGCAAGAAAAAAAUGAACUUCAAAAUGAUGGCAGAUUUUAUCAUAAACUAGCUUAGCAAGGGUUGUCUUGCCUAUGCCACCCAUCCCCGUUAUCCCAAUAAAGCGAACAUCAUUGGCAUCAUGAGCUAAUAGCAAACUUAGUUGCUCGAGUGAAUAAUCAGUUCCAACUAACUUCCAUGAGGAAUCUGAUGGCAUGAAUGUAGCUUGCACUUUCCGCCAGACACUAUUGACGAUUUUUUCGAUAAGCUCUCUUUCAGAUCUACAAGGAAGAAAAGUAAAAUAAGCAAUCAAUGGAAGAUAAACAAAACAUUCGUACUUUUCAUCUCCCUGCUGGGAGUGGAGCUUUUGCAUUUGUGGCUCCUCUGUUUUACUCCUUGUUGUUAAUGAAGUCCAACUUUACCAAAAAAAAAAAAUAAUAAUAAUAAUAUGGGAAAUUAAUUGUCCGUGCAUGCUUACUUAAAAUUCUUCAAAUGCCACCCAGAAAAUUUGGAUAUAUUUUUCAAAUCAGCUCUCCACUGGAUCACCUUCUUUUUGUCUUCAGUAGUGAUGAACUUUUCUUCAUGAUCCGCGAAGGCUUUGGCAAAACAUCCCCGUUGGUUUCCAACGUCAGAUGGAUCUAUCUCAUAAAAGACCGGCAGAACUGAGUUCCUGCCUUCCAUGCAUUGAAGAAUAGUUGUGAGUUCGUCUAAGCACCAUUUGGAAGAAGCAUAGUUUGGUGAGAGAACAACAAUUGCUAUAUGCGAUUCUUUGAUCGCACAUGGGAGCUCAAGAGGAAUAUUUGUUCCUUCUUCAAGCUCUCGAUCGUCAAAGAAAGUUGUAAAUCCAUGGCACUUGCACAAUUCAUGGUAUAGAUGGGAUACAAAACCCUUGCGGGUGUCUACACCCCUGAAACUCAAAAACACAUCAUACUUCCAUCGAGGAGCUGAUUCACUUGAAUAAAAAGAUGCAGGGGCUCUUUGGGUGUUCAAAGUCAAUGCCAUCGGAAAACACAGUUGCUGUAAAUCGGGUACUGCAAACAAUAACUGAAUGAACAAGCAUAACGAUAGAAGAUCAAUGUUUUAAAAUUUAAAAAAAAAUGAAGUGAUAUUAAACAAUUAGCAAUACUCGCUCUAAAAAAUCCAUACUCUCGAGAACUCUAAAAAUUAAGUGAUAUUACUGUAAAUCUCAUACUCUCGAGUACUCUAAAAAUUCCAAACAAUUGGUAAUGGUCCCCAAAAAAAAAAUGGAGAAGCUAUAGUUAGAAACUAUUGAACAAUUAGCAAUACUCACUCACUCUCUCUUUUGUAUAAAGUGAAAUUAAGAGAGGAACUGGUUUUGAUUAAUUUCACUUUCAAGUUUUGAUCACACUAACCAACGGUUAAACUAUCUUUGUUUGAUCGCUUUGGUCAAGGAAAAGUACUAAAAAAAGAGCAAAACCAUUUAAUCAAUCUAAACUACAAGUUCAUUGCAUCAUAUUGGUUUCAUUUGACUGAUUUGAAUGUUCAUCGCAUAAGUAAAAAGAUAAACUUCAAUUAAAUGGGAAAAAUAAUCACUAAUUUAGUGAGAAAAUGGGUUCGGCAAACAAAUGAACAAGUGAAACAAAAAUGAGCAGUUAAAAAGAAAAUAGAAAGUUUAAAUCUUGUUUUCGUAAUUGAAAUUGUAUAUUAAGCAAAAGAGAUUAAGGACUCAGAGAAUUACCAGAAAAACAAAAUACAGGAUCAACACAAGCUUGCACAGGCAGAGAAAAGUGACAAAUGGCAAGGAAAGAAGCAGAAAAAUCGCACUGAAAAUUCUCACAACAAAGUUGUAGGAAUAGAGGAAAUUCACAGAGGUAGGAAAGGAAAUAAAUGGGAGGGAGAUGGACAAUUGAGUGCUUAUACUGGUAGUGGAGGUGGUGAGGACCACACGGUUCAGUGUAGGUCAGAUGAUGACUUAUUUCUUUGAUUAGUAUGACUGUUUACCUAAAGAGGAGUAAAAGAACCAAAAUUUUAAGGUGAUUUAUGGUAAAUUAUUUAACGGUUAAAAUAUUUAGAGUAUCUCAUACUCUCGAAUACUGUUAAAAUUCCAAACAAUUACUAAUGGUCCGAAAAUAAAAAAAACAGAGAAGCUAAGAAAUGGUUAAACGAUCUCUGUUUGAUCACUUCAACCGAUGCUUACUGUUGGAUUUAGUGGCUCAUUCCGAUUGGGCUGUUUAUUUUGGCUCAAGCCAAUUGAUUGGCUGUUUUAAUAGCCCCAUGUGAAAGCCAUGUGACAACUAAGUUAAAGGCAGAAAGCAGCCAAUAUUAGAAGGCAUUGGAUGCUUUUCUUUUGGUUCCCAUGACCAAAAAGAAAGAGAUAGGCAACCUAUGCCUUUCGGUUCCUAAAAACAGAGAGAGGCAGGGUAAAAAAAACAAAAAAGGAGCAGCAUUAUAAGGCAUUGGAUGCUUUUCUUUUGGUUCCAAUUAGCAAAGAGAAAAAGAAAGGUUUUGGGCAAUUAUACAUUCAAGAUAUUGAUGCUACAUUUUAUGGUUUUUUGGAGAGAAGUAUUUUCAUCUUCUCCAUUUAUUCUUUAUUUGAGAGAACCAUUAGGUGUAUUUGGGAUAUGGGGUUUGAGAGUUAAAACUCUAUUUGUAAUUUUCACUAAUUAUUAGUGAAAUUUCCUGACCAUUUUUGCACUGAAGGUAGGCUUAUGCCAAAUCAAUAUAAAUCUUUGUGUUACUUUGAAUUGUUUGUUUUGUCAUUUUUUUUCGUAUUAAUUUAUUGAUUUCAUAUUUGACGCACAACACUUACUACUAAAAAAAUGAGCUAAACCAUUUAAUCAAAUUAAACUACGAGUCCAGUGCAUGAAACUGCUCAUAUUGGUUUCAUUUGACUGAUUUGAAUGUUUCAUCACAGAAGGAUUAAACUUGGAUUAAAAGGAAGAGCAAAAACUAAUUUAGUGAGAACAUCAGCAAACAAACAUUGACAUCCAGUAUCAAGCCAAAGAUAAGUUGGAAGGAUCUAGCAAGCAGCUCCAUCAGCCAACAUUUCUAAUCAACACCGUCACACAAGCCAUCAAGUAACAAAACAAAUUAAACUCUCAAGUCUCAACAGAAAAUGUUAUAUGUGAGAAAGAAAGAAUGAAUUACAUGAAAUGAAAACGUUAAGACAACGGUGUAAUCAACAUAUUACGUAUUGUCACGCCACAAAGUUAAAAUAUCUCUCAAACAAGCAACAUGGAAAUCGCAGGAGCUGUCCACUUUCCAAUACUCGUUGAAGAGAAAAAGCUGAAAGGAACACGUUAACACAUGGACUCCUAAGGAAGACUGACUGUGAUUUCCAAUACUCAUUCCAAAGUGAAAGGACAAGUUUUUUCCACACAAAAAUUUUCAUAAGGAUUUGACGUAACCGAGGAAUGCCGGCUGUCGACUACCUGAUCGGUACACAAAAUGGUACACCACGUGUCACUAUAUAAAUGGUAGAAUAUAUAUGCUAAAAAGUUAAUAACUUAAAAAAUAAAAUUUUCCACUUCUAUAAAAACACAUGCUGUACCGCUUAUGUUAUUGUCACAAUGACAAAUUUCUCGUUCACGAGGUUUACAAUCUUCACGAAGCAGAUAAAUUACUCAAAGGUGCUCUGACACAAGAGACUCUAUUUCGGUUUUUAAUUUUCAAAGAAAACUUGUUUGACAACUCCUAAUUUUUAGUUUUUAAAGAAAUGAAAACUAAAAACUGGUUUCUUGAGCUUUCAAAAUUUAUAUUUUCGGUUUUUAAUUUUAGUUUCUAAUCAACACCAUGACACAAGCCAUCAAGUAACAAAACCAAUAAAAAGUCAACUGAAAACGUUAUAUGUUAAAAAGAACAAUGAAUUACAUGAAACGAGAAUGCCAAAGUAGCCGUGGUCAACCUAUUGCGUGUUGUCACGCCACAAAAUUAAAAUAUACAAUGUGAGGUGGCAACAAAUUUGAGCCCAACCGCUGUAAUGUUUCCGUGCAAUGUAAAUCCCCCUCAAAGAAGCAAAGGAAAUCCUCAUGCAAGAGCUCUCUAGUUUCCAAUACUCGUUCAAGAGGAAAAGCUGAAAGGACAAGUAUUUUCCACAAAACAAGUGGAAGACCGACAAUGGGAAAUUUCCAAGAAACAAAGAUUUUUUAGUAAGUUCCCAACUUUCUUCUAAUAAAAGAUAUUCAUGUCUCUUUGUUUGUUCAGUGAUGCCAAAGCCACCUACUUAUCUUAUUUCUUCACUUAUUUUCAAAUACUCGUUCCAAAGUAUUUUCCACAAAAAAAAAAAGUGGAAGACUGACAAUGAGAAAGUUACCUUGCUGGGACACGUUAUCUUUCUUUGCCUUUUCUUUAAGAGGAAACUAUUUAUGGCACCCACCAUGAAACUUCUAUAUAGGUUUUUUCACACAUCUUUUUGUUAGGUCCGCACUUCUCCAAAGCUUUGGGCCACACAUCUGUUCUAUUAAUCAGACCUGGAAAAAGCAGCAACGGUAGCAAUUCUGCCUCCUCACGUACUUUAGGACAGGCUAAGCUAGAAAGAUGGGUUACAAGUCCACUUGCAAUACUGAGUCUUUGUUGAAUAUGCUGCGACUUUCCCUGUCAUUUAGACAACCCAUCUCACAGUUGCACCCUGCGCUAAAUAUAUCACCCCCAGCAAUUACCAAUAUCAAAUCUGAUAAAACCAUUCAGCCAACUGAGAAGUCUUCAAUGCAAGCUGCAAUGUAAGAGUUGAGUUGAAAUGGUCCAUACAUCAAAGAAAAUGAGCAUUCGUAAGAAUCAUGUAACCUAGGCUAAGUUCCAUGGACUCUUAAGGUCUCUCAUCCAAACAUAGUAUAAACACUGGAUUUGGAUGAUGGUGUUUAGAGUUCCAUGAAACCUAGGCUACACCUUUCAGAAACGCACUACAAAAAAACAAAUAGAUAGAAGGACUUCAAAAUGACUAGAUGCAAAACAUUUGAGAGAACUUUCAAAUGACACCUUAAAAGUCCUUUGUUGCGUGUCUUUCAACGGAUCGAGGCGUUUUCAGGCCACUUCCCGAUCGAAUUGGACUUUGGCCUAGGUAUGAAAAUUACUCCCUUCAUUGAGAUCUACAUGCUUAUAAAAUUUGGUAAUUUUUGGAGUUAGGUAAAUUUUCCAGCAAGUCAAGACGACCUGCCGUCGCUUACGACGGCACGUGGUGGCGACGUGUGGCCUGAGGAACCACUUGAUCCUUCUAAGCUAUAUUUGAUACCCUAGUUCCAUAUUUGACAUCCGAUUAGUGAAAUUUUAUCAUUUGAACCUAGUUUCAUUAAGGAUGAUCACUUGACCAUUGUGGCGAACGAUGAUCCAACCGUUAAAUCGUUACCAAACUAUAAUAUGUUAUUUUACAUAAUAUUUGAGGACAUUAGGAACUGACGGAUCGGGAAUCCACAUACAGAUCUUCUCGAAUUAAAUUUCUAAGUUUGUAAAACCAAACAUCGGCCGCCACCUAAUUUUAGCAAUUGGUGGAGAUUCGACCGUUGGAUCAUUUUGAAAUUUUAGGAUUUUGUUCUAGAUGAAUAAUGAGACUCUCAGGAAGUUAAGGAUCGGAAAUCCGAUGGACGGAUCUUCCUGACUGAAUUACUUGGGUUGUCUUUGAUCAAAACGUUCAUAACCGUUCUUAAGUUCUAAAAUUGGUACUACUAAAUACUAAGUAGAGUCUAGUGGGCCUAUCUUGGUUAGUGAGCUAUUCCAGUUAAUGCUUACCUCAGUUUACGUGAUUGGAACGCCUUAUUGUGACAUGCAUAUGUGUAUUUAAAUUAUUGAUGAUAUGAAUGAUGUGUAUGAUUAUCUUUAUGACGAUGUGAACCUAGAAUCUUAUUAGAAGUAUUAUGUAGAACUUUUAUGCUUGUAUGACAAGAUAGUUAUUAGUCAAGAGAAGUUGAUAAUGCAGGUGCCCACCUCGUAAAUCACAGAGAUUGAGGUAGGGAUGGAUUGUGUGUUAAACUAAUUGCACUAGAUAGCAGUGGUACUUGGAGGUCCUGCUUGGUAUAUAUGCGAUAGGGGACCAUAUGUAUUUCAGGGGUGAUCAUGUUUGGUAUAUCUGUGAUGGAUGAUCACCGCUUGCACAAUUAGACUAUGCUUAUGGUCUUGCUUGGUUUAUCUGAAAUGGGUGAUCAUGAUUGGUAUAUCCGUAAUAGGUGAUCACUACCUAGAGUUAGGAUGUGGUCUUGCUUGGUAUAUCCGCGAUAGGGGGACCACACGUUAGACUAUGCCUAUGGUUUUGCUUGGUUUAUCCGCAAUGGGAGACCAUACGCAUUCUAGGAGUGAUCAUGCUUGGUAUAUCCACGAUGGGUGAUCAUUGCCUGCACAUUUAAAUUAUGCCUAUGGUUCAACUUGGUAUAUCUGCAAUGGGGGACCAUAUGCAUACUAGGGGUGAUGAUGAUUAGUUGUACUUGGUAUGUUUCGAUAGGCGGCCUUAUUUUAGUUGGAUUCUGUUGAGAGGUCUGAAAUCCUUACUCUUGCUUAUUUCCAUAAGGUUAGUCCGGCCUUAGAUUAGAGUGAAUAGUAAUUGCUCACCGUAGGCAUCAUGUUUAUAAAUUAGAUUUACCAUGUUGUUAUUUAUAAUCUAAGUGGGGAAUUGUAUAGACUUCUUUUAUUAAAUUUUGUGAGGUGAUCAUGAUCUUAUUGAUUGAUUAAUGUAAUUAAAUGCUAAUAUCAUGCCUCUUUGAUUCAUGAAAUUGAUUAAUUGGAGUGAUUGUGGAAUGACGUUGGAUAUGAUUUUUAUUAAUAUGAAUAGAUUAGUUGAUCAAUGUGACUGGAGGAUAAUGUGCUUUUUUUAUUCUUUGAUAUGUUACAUGCUAUGAAUUGCGAUUUUAUGUGAAAAACAUAAUGAUUUAUCUGAUGAAUGGAAUGGAAAUCUUGAAUAUCUUGUGGGCUGUUAUGUAGUCUUGAAUUUAGAAAUUCAUGCUUGUCGAGUUCCAAUGUUUGAUGGAGGAAUGCUAUGUUUUUUAGUUAGAAGGUACGAAGUUAAGUGUCAAGUGUAGUGAAUGGUGAACUACAAAUGACUUGAUCCUAUAUAGGGUAUGUAGGCAAUCUAACGAGGAGGUUAGAUGGAGCCAUAAAGUAUACAAAAAAAUUACUACGCAAUUCAAAUCCUGAGUUGUGCUUUGCUCAUAUCCCGAAGAUGGGGUAUGUUAGAUGUACGAGUUUUUGGUGUCGUCACGUGUUGAUCCUGGACGUAUGUCGGGAUCGAGGUGUGACGUUGAGUGUGCCAUUACUAUCUAAAACCAGCAUACUAAAAGUUAUUCGGGCAUGAAUAAACCGGUUACUUGCACCCCUAGUUACCUGAACUUCUUCGAUUAAGGGAUUGUUUAUAGAGGGGUUAAGUUCACAAAAAGUUCUUUUCUUUGCCUUGGGAUCAUAGACUUUUGGUUAAUGUAAUAUGCCCUUUUAACAUGAAUUAAGAACAAAGGAAAAGAUUGAUUUGUUGAAGUUAUUGAGCCGAAGCAAAGUAAAGCAAAUGUAAAGAACGUUAAAUGAUAACUUUGGAAACUAAAAUACUAGUAAGUAAAUGAUGGAAAUAACUUGUAAUGAAAGUGCAAGGUAUUUAAAGGCAGAAAUUAACACAACAAUGCAUAAAUAUUAAAGGUUCGGGCACGUUUCAACAUCUUCUGGCAUUGUUAGUUCCUUGCCGGGCACACCUUCUCCAAUUUAAAAGGUAAAAGCUUCAAAACAAUAACAAUUGAAAUCGAUACCACAAAAAGAAUGCAACAGAGCUAAAACUAAAACGAAAAGAUGACUUUGUCUACAAAAGGAAUGUAAAGAAAGUGAUAGAGCUUUUAGGAGCCUUUUAUGGGAGUUGAUUUGAAUGUCCUUCUUAUCUGGUCCUACCGCCGCUUUUAUAGAGUUUACUUCUCGAUGAAUUAAGCUUUUAACUCCUUGAUGCAUCCCUUUUCUUGCCAAGUGGUUGAUGAGACUGCUAGUAGAGGGUGAAUUCUCACUUGAUCCCCUUGAAAUGACAAGUGUUUGCCCCUAAAAGUGCUUUCCCGUCUGAAAUAUCUUCUCUGUAACACCCCAUAGUCUGAUUAUUCUUAUAGGUUUGUCGCCCAUAGCUACCAUGUCAUAUUAAUAUUUAAAUCUUGGGGCGAGCUAUUGUCCACAUCUCCUGAAAUUAAAGACCCAAUAAGUUCUCUAAGGUUUUACGUGGGUUUGGGUCGCGACGCAAGCCCAAUGUCCAUUUUGGGUUCAAACAGAACAACUUAGAAGAUAUAGGGAAAACAAUGAGAGGAAAAAUCUAAAUAACAAAGGUGAAAACAGAGUAAAAUCCGGAUCUCAAAGAGCUUUGUAUUUUUUUUUUAAUUUAAAAGAGGAAAUUAGAAGCCACUUAGUAUUACGAUUUAGUGGUAUCAGUUAUAUGUAACUAAGAAGAUAUAGUGAAAGCAAUGAGAGGGAAAAUCUAAAUGAAAAAGGUGAAAACAAAGUAAAAUGCGGAACUCAAAGAGCUUUGUAUUUUUUUAAAUCAAAAGAGGAAAUUAGAAGUCAUUUAGUAUUACGGCCUAAUGGUAUCAGUUAUAAGUAAGAAGUCUUAGAUUCAAUUCUCGUCAAAAGCAAAUUUGAGUAACAUUAUUAUAGUUAACCCAGUGUAAGGCUUAGCCCACCUCCCUCUAAUGUGAAUAAUAUCGUUCGUUUGUUAUUAAAAAAAAGAAAAAAAAAGAGGAAAUUAGAAAAUUUAUUUUGUGGGAAAAAAAAUUAAAAAAAAAAAAGAAAAAAGGGAAAAAAGAAAUUGAUCUAAAAACAUCUUCAAAGGAGAUUUUAAAUUUUAAACAUAAAAUAUAAAUUUGAAAGCAUAAAUGACAUUUUAAUUUAAAAAAAAUAUUCUCAAUCUCAUAUGUCAAAUCAAACUAUUAUUUAUUACGUUAAUUAAAUAUUUUUAAAAUAAUAAUAAUAACUAUUUUUUAAUCAAUUAAAAAUAAAUUUGGGUUAGGGUCAAUUAAAUAAUAUUCACGCACACUGUGUGUAUGGCAUAUGGAAGUACUAAUUCUAAUUUACUGUUAAGAGAGAGCCCGUUGAAUUCCUAAUUACCGUUAGUGAGAGGGCAGCUUGGGUCAGUUGGUGCUUCUCAAAACUGCUUCCGCAAAGAAGCAAUGGGAAGAUUUGAAUGAAACUUUCAAAAGGCCGAAAUUACCCCCCAGAAUUUACAAAUUAUAACACUACCCUAACUCGGCUUUCUUUGGCUUCUUGGAGCAAACGGUCCUAGAAUUUGCUCAAUAAUUUAUCAUAUAUGACCGAAACUUAGUCUCGAAUUUCACAAAUGUCAGUUUUUUUUUAUAUAAAAAAAUAUUAAUUAUAGCAAAAAAAACACACUUGAAUAAACUUAAAUACCGUAAAAAUUAACUCUCAGUUACAAUAUACCUGAAGUUCUUAGAUAUUAGAGUCAAUUUUUAACCUAACUCACAAGGAAAGUCUCUACACCAUGGAAAUGUCAAAAACACUAACCAAUAUCAGUCAGCGCCAAAUUUUACUUCGUUCAUGGAGGAUGAAAAAAAAAAUAGGACAGCAAUCCCCCAACAUGGUAUGGGUACGUACUUUUGACCAAAUUAGGGUUGUAAUCCCCCCCAACUUAGGUAAAUCAACAUAUGUCGGUCAGAGGAGUUUAAUGGAACUCUUUGGCUUGCUUUCACCAAUGAUUUCUUUUCAUUGCAGAAAUUGUUAAUAUUUUCUUAAUUUCCUUUUCCACCCACUUGAAUCAACUUCAUGAAAUCUAAUUUUUGACGAUCACUAGAAUUCAAUUGUUAUGUAUGUGAUAUCGGCAGGGUUAGAUCAAACAGAGCUUUACUUUUUCGCUAAGAUCAAAUAGAAUUGAUUUUUUUCUGAUUUGCAAUGCCCUUUUAUUAAUGGCAGAACUGAUUCUAUUGUUGAAACUCCUUUGGCUAAAGUGUUGUAAUGAGCAGCCACAGAUACGACACUAUCUUCAAGUGAUGAUGAUCUUUACCACCUUAUUUAGUCAUUCUGGAGAAAAUGUAUUCGAAAAAAAUAAAAAACAAAAAGGAUGAGGUGAAAUGGCCAGCUUAAUAAUUUUCUUCCCUUUUUUUUGAAGCGCAUCUGGGAAACCUAUUGAAAAUUUGGGUAAAUUUACAAACAAGAAACACUAAUGCAACUUGGCACAAAUAGCAGUAUUUCAAAACAAAAGCGGAAUUUCUCACUACAAUUGAAUGUCUUCAGAGUUUUAGCAAUUAAUUAGGUCACUAAAUUAAUUGAGCUAUUUUCACUGAGUUUCUAUGAAUUAUAAAUUAAUCGGAUCACUAUAAAAUUACAAAAUGAGCCACCGUGCCCCUCAGAUAGUGUUAUUUGAGAUAGAAUCUAUUAUACUUUGAUUCGUGAAGACAACAAAAUGACGAAAUGACGGAAUGUGUGAAUUGAAAAUGAAUUGAACACAUAACUCAUUAUCUCUUAGUUCAAGAAGAGACAUGAAAACCUUACAACCGUAGAGAAGAAAAAUAAUCGUACGGGACAAAGACAAUACACAAUUAUAGAUAUUUCAGUAAUCAAUUCAAAACAUAAAUCUCAUUCUACUUACAGUCCUUUUGAAUCAUGUGCCCUGCUUCAGUUGCCUUACCAAACAGGAUAAAAGUCUUAUCCAAGGCAAUCCCUCCUAAUCUGUGUAACAAACGGGUCCAAAAUACUCCAUCCAAGUUCUACCCACCACACAAACAAGCAGGCCCAGUUCUUGUGCGACAUAGCAAACUCUUAACUUGGGACCUAAAAUUGGGUUUUCGUCGAUCAAUCAAAUGGAGCGAUUUUCCCUCUCAUAUCGCUCCGUCUCCCAGUCCCUCUCUCUCAUUCAUUCGACUGGUUGAAGCUUUCAAGUAUCAAGAUUGGCAGAAGCAUCCGCAGAAAUCCAGAGGGGAAGACAAUCCUGGUACUACUUUAUCACUGUUUCUCUGUAAUUUUCCCGAGAAAGUUUACGCCUUUCAUUUUCCCGAGAAAGUUUCUGCAUUUGGGUUUACAGCAAUGCAUUCAUCUCGUCCAUUUCUCUUCUGGGUCCUUUUCUUUUUCGUCUCCAACCUCAGUUUCCCUUCGCUUUCUGUCCCGUUCUUGCCUGCGACGAACAAUAACCUCACCCUCUUCGGCGACGCUUCCAUCACCAACAACGCGAUUAGUCUCACUCAAGAACUCACCACCUGCCCCUCCUCUUCCCCUUCUGCUUCUUCUGGGGUUGGAAGAGCAUUUUACGCCUACCCAAUUCGGUUUCUUGACUCGAAAACCAACGCCACUGCCUCUUUCUUGUGCCGAUUCUCUUUCUCAAUCACCCCAAGUUCCCCAUUGUGUUCUUCUGGAGAUGGCAUUGCGUUUGUGAUCAUCCCCGAUGUCGAUUCUCUGGGAUCAUCCAGAGGGGGGUAUAUGGGACUUCCGGAGCCAUCCUCAGUGUCGAAAGAAUCGUUCUUCGCUGUGGAAUUCGAUACUAGGUUUGAUCCUAUGGUUGGUGACAUCAAUGGGAACCACAUUGGUGUUGAUUUGAACACAGUUGUGUCUGUUGCCUGUGUUGAUGUUGUUUCAAGAGGGAUUGAUUUGACAAGUGGGAGGGAGAUUACUGCUUGGAUUGAGUACAGGGAUGCUGUCAAGAUGAUUCGGGUUUGGGUCGGAUACUCGUCAACUAGGCCUCCAACGCCUGUUCUUGUUGCUCAGAUUGACCUCUCCAACCAGUUCAAGGAGUUCAUGCAUGUCGGUUUCUCGGCCUCGAAUGGGCAGGGCUCUUCAGUUCACGUUGUUGACAGGUGGAGAUUCAAGACUUUCGGGUCUCUUCCACCUGGGAAUCCUACAGAUACCUUUGAAGAAGGGGACUGCUUCAUGUGCUCUUCACCAGAAGAUUCAAGUACCAAAAGCAGCCCGGAAAAUCGUUCCCAUGAAAGAAAAACAAAGAUUGUGGAGAUGGCUCUUGGGUUGGGAGGGUUAGCUGCAUUUGUUGUCUCCAUAAUCGCAUUUGUUUUUGUCAUUUGUUUUGUGUGUGUGAAGAAGAGAAUGGUCACUGCCAGAGGGAGCAGAGAGGGCAAAACUUGUAGAGUUGAGGCGAAUAAAGUUCCGACGAGUUUGUCUCUUGCAGAGAUAAGAUCGGCGACAAUGGGGUUUAACCGACACAGGGUUGUCGGGGAAGGGGCAUCAGCUAAGGUUUAUAAAGGGUCUCUGUCCUCUGGUGGAGAAGUGGCAGUGAAAAGGUUUGAGAGGGUUGAUGGGAUCGGUAGUCUGCGUAAUCCUUUUACUACGGAGUUUGCAACUAUGGUGGGUUGUUUGCGGCACAAGAAUCUGAUCCAGCUUCAUGGGUGGUGCUGUGAGGGUAAUGAGUUGGUCCUGGUGUACGAGUACAUGCCCAACGGAAGCCUCAACAAAGUUCUUCACAAAAGCUUCAAUUCAGCAGUUGUUCUGUCCUGGAAGCAAAGACUUAAUAUAGUUCUUGGAGUCGCUUCUGCUCUUGCAUAUCUUCACGAGGAGUGUGAGAGGCAAAUAAUUCACAGAGAUGUCAAAACUUGCAACAUAAUGCUCGAU
rnacentral:lncRNA from 1 species